GUUUGUUUGAAGGUAUAAGUAAUUUGGCCUGCCCCCUGAUCUUAGUAUUAAAGGGCCGCAGUAUUAUAACUGUGCAAAGGUAGCAUAGUCAUUAGGUUUUUAAUUGGAAUCUUGUAUGAAUGGUUGGACAAAAGAAAGACUCUCUUUAUAUUAGUUUUGAAUUUAACUUUUAAGUGAAAAGGCUUAAAUAAUCUAAGGGGACGAUAAGACCCUAUAAAACUUUAUAUUAUAAUUAUGUUUUAUUGAGUUUAAAAAUAAAGAUUUAAUUUAGUUAUUUAUUAUGUUGGGGAGACAUAGGUAAAAUAUUAUUUUAACUGCUUAUAAUUUAUACAAUUAUUUAUGAGUAAGUAGAAGAUCCUUUAUUGAAGAUUAAUAAGUUAAGUUACUUUAGGGAUAACAGCGUAAUUUCUUUUGAGAGUUCUUAUCGAUAAAGAAGGUUGCGACCUCGAUGUUGAAUUAAAAAAUCUUUAUAAUGCAGAGAUUAUAUUAGAAGGUCUGUUCGACCUUUAAAUUUUUACAUGAUUUGAGUUCAAACCGGUGUGAG
rnacentral:rRNA from 1 species